UACGUAGGUGGCAAGCGUUGUCCGGAUUUACUGGGCGUAAAGAGCGCGCAGGCGGUUAAUUAAGUCGAAUGUGAAAGCCCCCGGCUCAACUGGGGAGGGUCAUUCGAUACUGAUUGACUUGAAGGCAGGAGAGGGUAGUGGAAUUCCCGGUGUAGUGGUGAAAUGCGUAGAUAUCUGGAGGAACACCGGUGGCGAAGGCGGCAUCCUGGACCGAUAUUGACGCUGAUGCGCGAAAGCCAGGGGAGCAAACGGG
rnacentral:rRNA from 1 species